UACGAAGGGGGCGAGCGUCGUUCGGAUUUACUGGGCGUAAAGGGCGCGCAGGCGGCGAUUUUUGUCAGGCGUGAAAGCCCCGGGCUCAACCUGGGAACUGCGUUUGAUACGGGAUUGCUAGAGAUCGGGAGAGGAGAGUGGAAUUCCCAGUGUAGAGGUGAAAUUCGUAGAUAUUGGGAAGAACACCAGUGGCGAAGGCGGCUCUCUGGACCGAUACUGACGCUGAGGCGCGAAAGCGUGGGGAGCAAACAGG
rnacentral:rRNA from 1 species